UACGUAGGGUGCAAGCGUUGUCCGGAAUUAUUGGGCGUAAAGAGCUCGUAGGCGGUUUGUCGCGUCGGCUGUGAAAACUCGGGGCUCAACCCCGAGCCUGCAGUCGAUACGGGCAGACUAGAGUGCGGUAGGGAGACUGGAAUUCCUGGUGUAGCGGUGAAAUGCGCAGAUAUCAGGAGGAACACCGGUGGCGAAGGCGGAUCUGCUGGCCGAUACUGACGCUGAGGAGCGAAGCGUGGGGAGCAAACGGG
rnacentral:rRNA from 1 species